UUACGGGUGGCGAGUGGCGGACGGGUGAGUAAUACAUCGGAACUUGCCUUUGAGCGGGGGAUAACCCGGGGAAACUCGGGCUAAUACCACAUAACGUCGAGAGACCAAAGCGGGGGAUCGCAAGACCUCGCACUCAAAGAGAGGCUGGUGUCGGAUUAGCUAGUUGGUAGGGUAAAGGCCUACCAAGGCAACGAUCCGUAGCUGGUCUGAGAGGACGAUCAGCCACACUGGGACUGAGACACGGCCCAGACUCCUACGGGAGGCAGCAGUGGGGAAUAUUGGACAAUGGGGGCAACCCUGAUCCAGCAAUGCCGCGUGUGUGAAGAAGGCCUGAGGGUUGUAAAGCACUUUAGGUGGGGAGGAAGUAGUGAGACUGAAUAAGUUUUACUGUUGACGUUACCCACAGAAUAAGCACCGGCUAACUCUGUGCCAGCAGCCGCGGUAAUACAGAGGGUGCAAGCGUUAAUCGGAAUUAUUGGGCGUAAAGCGCAUGUAGGUGGUCCACCAAGUUUGAUGUGAAAGCCCCGGGCUUAACCUGGGAAUUGCGUUGAAGACUGGUGGACUAGAGUCGAAGAGAGGGUCGUGGAAUUUCCGGUGUAGCGGUGAAAUGCGUAGAGAUCGGAAAGAACACCAGUGGCGAAGGCGGCGACCUGGCUUCAGACUGACACUGAGGUGCGAAAGCAUGGGGAGCAAACAGGAUUAGAUACCCUGGUAGUCCAUGCUGUAAACGAUGAGAACUGGAUGUGCG
rnacentral:rRNA from 1 species